GGACUGUUCAUAAUUUAUGGAAGGGGGUGUGUGAUUUUAAGGGGGGUCACCCAUUUUGUCCUGGGGAGGUAGGUGGGGUCAUCAAUUCUGUACACAUGUACUAGGGGGUUAAGCAAGUUUGUA